rnacentral:lncRNA from 1 species
AUGAUUUUAUUUGUGUCUCAUCCCUGGAGUAAGAAAGACCAUGUAAUCAGAAACCGUUGGCGCCGGAAGAGACCCUCCGAAGGUCCUGAGGACCAGACUCUCAUUCCAAGUUUGCUUCUCUUUGGAAAGAUAGUACUGGAUUAUCUGAAACAGAAAAAAAUAAAAAGAUAAUUUUUAAGGAAAAAACGUAAGGUAAUGUCAAUGAAUUCUCAAAAAUGAGAUUUACCUUAUAGCUUCUAUAUUUUUAAACAAACAACAUCAUUUUUCCACAGGUACAAUCAUUAUUUGGAACUGUCACUAAAUUAUACCCUCCAAAAUCAGUGUUAAAUUUUAGAGCUUUGAAACAAUGCAUUUUGGUAUUGUUGCUUUAUUUUUCUCCCUGCAAAAAAAUGAC